rnacentral:rRNA from 1 species
AAUAUUGCACAAUGGGGGAAACCCUGAUGCAGCGACGCCGCGUGAGCGAAGAAGGCCUUCGGGUCGUAAAGCUCUUUCCUAAGGGAAGAAACUGACGGUAUCUAAGGAGGAAGCCCUUGCCUACUACGUGCCAGCAGCCGCGGUAAUACGUAGGGGGCUAGCGUUAUCCGGAAUUAUUGGACGUAAAGGGUGCGUAGGCGGCCUUUUAAGGCAGAUGUGAAAGGCUACGGCUUAACCGUAGUUAGCAUUUGAAACUAAAAGGCUUGAGUGCAGGAGAGGAGAGUGGAAUUCCUAGUGUAGCGGUGAAAUGCGUAGAUAUUAGGAGGAACACCAGUGGCGAAGGCGACUCUCUGGACUGCAACUGACGCUGAGGCACGAAAGCGUGGGGAGCGAACA